AGAGGAACGACAUCACACCAAAACGGGACUCAAUUUGUGCAGAAAUCUGAGCAAAAACAUCACAAUCUAGAGACCAUUUGUUACACUUUAACCUUCUGCAUGGAAUAAAAGUAAGGCGUGUACAAACAACUAUGAGCUCCCCUAAAACAUCUGCGUCCUUUGUACUGAUCAGCAUGACAUUGUGGUUUAUUAUGUUCCUGCGCUGCCGCGGUCAACUGCGAGCACAUCUGGGGACUACCCCAAACAUUAAAGACAUUGUGGUUGGAAGGUGCUACAGUUACA